CUGUAUAUAGGCCUAUGCUUAUACAUAAGCUCUAACAUGCAUAUGGAUGUUUUGAAUGAAUCAUCACCUUAGAAAGCGCUGUCCAUUUCGUGGUGUUAGGCUUUGAAACAACAUCCACAGCAACCUUGUUUUCCACUCAGUUUUAACCUGUUGUUGAACAUCUUUCUUCUUCAAAUUGAUCAUUCACCGUGAGGUGAGUUUUUAAAAGUACAUACUGUUUUGAUGAUAAGUGUUUGAUGUGAUUUUCAAUUGCAUUUGCAUCGAUGACAGAGUGGUUAGAGGGACAAUAGAGCCCCGCGUACCAGGCCAUUAGCGACCUGAUGAUGUCCAGAGUGCAUAAGAGGAGAUUACCUUGCCUCAACGGUCACGUAGAAUUUUACUGCGGUCAUGACUGCCGGUGUGGCGGUAAUACAGUCACCGCAACAGCUCUAACCAUGUCACAUAUGUGCAGAUAUGUGCAUCACGUCAUUGCUCUUUCUCUCUCUGCUGUGUCUACUGAGCUGUCGGGCCCCCCCCCUGCAACCUCAUUGGAUAAAGCUGGGCAGGCCUCUAACUAGUUGUCACUCAAAUGGGAGGGGCUGGAGCUCAUUGGCUUGAACUUGAAUUGCUAGGGGGCUGGCCCACGUGGGGGAGACAUGUAGGGAAAAUGGCGCGGCACAACUUCAAAAAAACAGUUGCUUUCAAACUAGGGAUUUUGUGGCUAAUUGAGUUAAAACAGUAGUUCUACAUGUAUGAACUACACAUUGACACAUCCCAGCCCAAAGCAGAGGUGUAAAACAUACUUAGUCGCCAAAGUACCGGAGCAUGUCUUUUAAUACCCAUACAAAUGUAGACCUCACAAUACAUACUCACACAGUACAGUAUGUUAAGUGCAUUACGUUUAUGCACAGCAUAUUAAUCUGCUCCACAUCCACACGCUCACAUCCAUCCACACCUAUUUUCAGUGGACAAUUGGAUAAAUGUAUUUUAAAGACCCAUUUGGAAGGAAAGUGACCAGAAAGAAACACAGAGGAAACAGUCACAGUACGGUGUUUCAGCUUGUCUGAUAGCUCCCUAGAUGCACUCUAGAUCAAAGAGUCUCCCGGGCCCCGUAUAAAGUCUCUGUUGUGAUAAGAGUUCAGCAUGACUGUGUUCCAGGACCUCACACAGACCCAUUACUCUAUCAAUACUGACAUCAAAAUCUCACCCGGGGUUGUCACUUAACUUCUCUCUGACGAAGAAAACGGCGUUCAAGUUUCGGAGCACUGUGUUUCGUAUGAUGAUGACGCCAGAGAAUGACUCGGUGUGAGUCAAGGGUAGUAGCCCACAUUAGACGGGAGUAAACACACAGAUUCCUCACGCGUCAAAGCACGACAUGUCAUUUGGUUAGGGAUGAUAUCAGAAUGUACAGAUAGAACCGUUCAGACUGAUGCAGAUGGACAGAAUGAGAGACACACCGGUUCUAAAAAAAUAAAAAACUGCUAACAAAUACUUCACUCUGCCGUUCGCAAUCCAUAUUCCAAAGCACUUCCCACAGACCUGGUGCUCUAAGAUCCCCGUUGGAUUUUAUGACACAGCAUGAGCAAAAUGAGAGUUGAGUUCAUAACACUGAUUUGUUUUGUUUGGGACUGUUAGGGCUACACAGCGCUUCACCUGGCCUCUAUACACGGACACCAGCACGUCAUCCAGCUCCUGAUCAACAUCUACAAUGCCAGAACUAACAUCAGGGACUACCAUGGCAAGCUUGCAGCCUAUUACUGGAGUGGCAAUGCUGAUGUGUUCAACAAACCAGGCUCGCAGUCAUGUGGGAAAUGGUCAUCAAAAGGAGGAAGAAAGGCCCAGCGCUACACCAACCUACCCUCUCUGCUCCUCUCUCGCUCGCGGAGCCAGGGGAACCUCAACAACCUGGAGUUUGGGCCUGCGCCUCAGACCCCACGGCCCCCCCGCUCCCCAUCCAGUAUAGACUUCCACAGCUUCCAAUCCCCACUGCUCUAUGGAGAUCAUUUCUGAUUAAAGAUAGAUAAUAAUUGUUUUAUUUUGCAUCCCAAAUGGCACCCUAUUCCCUAUAUAGUGCAUAUAUAUAUAUAUAUAUACACACACACACACACACACACACACACACACACACACACGCAAAAGGAGUGAACCAUGUAGGGAAUAGGGUGCCAUUUGGGACGUAAUCUUAUUUUUCUAUUACGAUCAUGGCUAUAUCAUGGCUAUAAAGUAUGAUUGGUCACUUCAGAGAAGCACAAAAGGAUUUGAUUGAUUGAAAGUUAAAGUUGUUCAACUGUCUGGCACAGGUCUCUCUCCUUACUAUGGAAUUUAGCAUGUACACUGAACAUAAAUAUGAACGCAACAUGUAAAGUGUUGGUCCCAUUU